UAGGUGCUGGUGCAGCCAAUGAAUGACGUGCUAGCUUCUGAGAGGAAGGGAGGGCCACACGUCACUGGAAUUCCCCUUCUCCGGACUGUUCGGUACUUUCCCUGGACAGAAACGUGAAGGGACAGACGACAAUUGAGGAGGAGUGUGGCA